UUUGAAAGCUGGCGUCCUACGGGCGUCCGCAUUGUAAUCUAUAGAGGCGUUUUCUGUGCUGGACCGUGUCCAAGUCCCUUGGAACAGGGUAUCAAAGAGGGUGACAAUCCCGUACUUGACACGACAACCAGUGCUCUGUGAUACGUCUUCUACGAGUCGAGUUGUUUGGGAAUGCAGCUCAAAAUGGGUGGUGAAUUCCAUCUAAAGCUAAAUAUUGGCGAGAGACCGAUAGCGAACAAGUACCGUGAGGGAAAGAUGAAAAGCACUUUGGAAAGAGAGUUAAACAGUAUGUGAAAUUGUUGAAAGGGAAACGAUGGAGGUCAGUCGUGUCUGUGGGAUUCAGCCGUCUCUGGCGGUGUACUUCCCACAGACGGGUCAACAUCAGUUUUGGCUGGCGGAUAAAGGCAGGAGGAAGGUGGCACCCCCGGGUGUGUUAUAGCCUCUUGUUGCAUACGCUGGCUGAGACUGAGGAAUGCAGCUCGCCUUUAUGGCCGGG
rnacentral:rRNA from 1 species